UUUCAGAAAAAAAAGGGACAUCCUCCAACACGAGUUGAAUUAUUUCAUGUCUGUUUUACUCAUGCUAAUGGAAGUCCCUCAAGUAAUAUUGUAAAAGAAAGAUUGGCUGCAAUGAAAGAACUAGAAAAUCAACUUCCUGAAGAUUACAAUGAUCAAGUGAGCC